UGGGGUAUAGCUCAGUGGUAGAGCUUGUGCUUAGCAUGCACAAGGCCCUGGGUUCAACUCCCAGCUCCUCCA
rfam:Ovis aries breed Texel chromosome 1, whole genome shotgun sequence.